AUUGAACGCUGGCGGCAUGCCUUACACAUGCAAGUCGAACGGCAGCACGGGGGCAACCCUGGUGGCGAGUGGCGAACGGGUGAGUAAUGCAUCGGAACGUGCCCAGUAGUGGGGGAUAGCCCGGCGAAAGCCGGAUUAAUACCGCAUACGUACUGAGGUAGAAAGCGGGGGACCGAAAGGCCUCGCGCUAUUGGAGCGGCCGAUGUCGGAUUAGCUUGUUGGUGGGGUAAUGGCCUACCAAGGCGACGAUCCGUAACUGGUCUGAGAGGACGACCAGUCACACUGGGACUGAGACACGGCCCAGACUCCUACGGGAGGCAGCAGUGGGGAAUUUUGGACAAUGGGCGAAAGCCUGAUCCAGCAAUGCCGCGUGUGUGAAGAAGGCC
rnacentral:rRNA from 1 species